rnacentral:rRNA from 1 species
GACGAACGCUGGCGGCGUGCCUAAUACAUGCAAGUCGAACGCAGUGGGGACGGGUGAGUAACACGUGGGUAACCUCCCAUCUGAGGAGAUAAACCUUGGAUACAGGUGCUAAAACUGAUACUGGUGGAUGGACCCGUGUGGCUGUAGGUAGUUGGGGAGGUAACGGCUCACAAAGGCCACGAUGCAUAGCCGAUCUGAGAGGGUGAUCGGCCACACUGGGACUGAGACACGGCCCAGACUCCUACGGGAGGCAGCAGUGGGGAAUAUUGGGCAAUGGACGAAAGUCUGACCGAGCAACGCCGCGUGAGUGAAGAAGGUUUUCGGGUCGUAAAACUCUGUUGGUAGAGAAGCGGUAUCUAACCAGAAAGCCACGGCUAACUACGUGCCAGCAGCCGCGGUAAUAC